UGCCGACGCCGCGCCGCCGGCCACCCUAGCUGCUGCCGCCGGCCACCCUAGCUGCUGCCGCCGGCCCGCCCGCCUCCGGUCCUCCUCCUCCCCGGAUCUGCCGCCGGAGCCGCCGGCGCCUGUUUCUUGCUCCGCUCCGCUUCUGUGCCUCUUGCUCCGCGAUUGAGAUCAACGGGGCAUGGCGGAUCAAAUAGGCCACAGACCCCACCGUCCUCCCCAAGGGUAAAGUCCAAGCUAACUCCCCGUAAAUGGAGAUUGCUGUGUUAGUUCAGGCUUUGGAUUGGCAACUGCUGUAAUCUGGCUGGGAUGUUCGUGGAAGUUCAUAGUAGAGUGAUGUCGGUUUGUUUGGGUUAUCAUAGAUCAAUGGCUCCCUGGCUCGGAGGGCCAUCAAGGACCUGAUGGCUCGUGACCUGUGAUGAGUAUCUCCAUGUGGCUGAAACAUUUCAGAGAUUUUGCGAAUUAGUUCAGUACUAUUGUUGUAAGCUGAAUGUUCAGAGAUUUUAUGGAUUUUGUUCAGAUUCUGAAUGCUGGAAUGUUUGUAAGCUGAACGAAAUACUUUUGUAUGCUGGAUGUGUGGUACUACUAUAUUUUAGGUGUAUGAAAUACUGUUUCUUCACUGUCAAAA